UACGUAGGGGGCAAGCGUUGUCCGGAUUUAUUGGGCGUAAAGAGCGUGUAGGCGGCCAGGGAGGUCCGUUGUGAAAACUCGAGGCUCAACCUCGAGACGCCGAUGGAAACCCCCUGGCUAGAGUCCGGAAGAGGAGAGUGGAAUUCCUGGUGUAGCGGUGAAAUGCGCAGAUAUCAGGAAGAACACCCGUGGCUAAGGCGGCUCUCUAGUACGGUACUGACGCUGAGACGCGAAAGCGUGGGGGAGCGAACAGG
rnacentral:rRNA from 1 species